UAGUCCACGCCCUAAACGAUGAGGACUGGCUGUUGGCGCUAUAGACGCGUCGGUAGCGAAGCUAACGCGUUAAGUUCUCCGCCUGGGGAGUACGACCGCAAGGUUGAAACUCAAAGGAAUUGACGGGGGCCCGCACAAGCGGUGGAGCAUGUGGUUUAAUUCGAUGCAACGCGAAGAACCUUACCAUCCCUUGACAUCCUCAGAAUGAUCUGUAAUCGAUCAGUGCCUUCGGGAACUGAGUGACAGGUGCUGCACGGCUGUCGUCAGCUCGUGUCGUGAGAUGUUGGGUUAAGUCCCGCAACGAGCGCAACCCCUAUCCUAUAGUUGCCAGCGGAUAAUGCCGGGGACUCUAAGGAAACUGACCCGCGCAAGCGGGAGAGGAAGGUGGGGGAUGGACGUCAAAUCAUCACGGGCCCUUAGGUCCAGGGGCUACACACGUGCUACAAUGGGU
rnacentral:rRNA from 1 species